CAGUCGCCGCGGGAACACGAAGGGUGCAAGCGUUAAUCGGAAUUACUGGGCGUAAAGCGUGCGUAGGCGGUGAGUUAAGUCUGCUGUGAAAUCCCCGGGCUCAACCUGGGAAUGGCAGUGGAUACUGGCUCGCUAGAGUGUGUCAGAGGAUGGUGGAAUUCCCGGUGUAGCGGUGAAAUGCGUAGAUAUUCGGAAGGAACAUCUGUGGCGAAGGCGACUAUCUGGGCCAACACUGACACUGAGGCACGAAAGCGUGGGGAGCAAACAGGAUUAGAUACCCCUGUAGUCCAUGUCUCUUAUU
rnacentral:rRNA from 1 species